UACGUAGGGAGCAAGCGUUGUCCGGAUUCAUUGGGCGUAAAGAGCUCGUAGGCGGCUUAGUAAGUCAGAUGUGAAAACUCCAGGCUCAACCUGGAGACGCCAUUUGAUACUGCUAUGGCUUGAGUUCGGUAGGGGACCAUGGAAUUCCUGGUGUAGCGGUGAAAUGCGCAGAUAUCAGGAGGAACACCGAUGGCGAAGGCAGAUCUCUGGGCCGUAACUGACGCUGAGGAGCGAAAGCAUGGGGAGCGAACAGG
rnacentral:rRNA from 1 species